UCUUACACUAUUUGGAGUUGAUCUAACACUGCAUUUUCUUAAAAAUGUUAAAUUUAACACUGGAUCAUGAAAGUGUUGUAGUUAAAAUGGAGUGUUGAAAAUGUUCAAAUCUUGUUAGUGUCACAAUAAAGACAUUCAACACUUCCACACCCCAUUUAACACCUAACAGUGUUCACGUGUCUUAAGCUCCGCCCACGGACAUUUCAUUUAGACUCCACCCCUCACCUCAGUUGCUGAUGGAAGAAGUUGAUAAUUAGGAAUCAUUUUGCAUCAGUAGGUAAGUAAACGUUUAAAUACUGUAGAUGAACUAAUGAAUUGUGUUGUACCUUGUUUACACAUAAAAAAACGUUACUUUUUGGUGUGAUAUUUAAGACUAAUAAACUGAGGCAGCUGUUUCCACCCAAAGCCUUUGCUAAUGUUAGCUCGUGUUUUUGCUAAGAUAUAUUUUCUAUUUAGUGUUGCUGUGAGCUGAAUCGGCACUGCCUGUGCAACAUUUGGAAAAGUAAGUGAACGCUACGUUAUAUCUUCAUUAUACUGUCUUCAUUUUUAAUGAGCUAAUGGCUAACUAGCUAAUUGGCACGAGGAUCCCCCACACGUAGGCCUGCUGGCCCCCAGCAAAGGACUUGAUAUGCUGUACAAGAUACAAGAUAUCAAGGUUGGCAACUCUAAUUGUUACUUUAACUUAAAAAUAAUUGUCAGGCGUGUGUUGGAAGUGAACUACACAAUUUUUUUUUUUAGAAUGAUGCAUCUUUAUUUUUCUUCUUGAUUCACAGCAAACCUUUGCUGGAGUCUUACAUGAAUGUGAGGUGGAUGGAGAUGUGUAGACUCCACUAUCCCUUCACCCCAGUUAUUGCCAGUUGGUGCGAGCCUCCACUCUUGCCGACUACAUCCCAUUCUUUAGGUUCGACAAUUUAUCCUUCAGCCCACAAGAGGAACCCAACAGAACCAAUGGAUCAGGAUGAAGCAUGACGGAAAGUCGGUGGUGUUUUGAGGGCCAAUUCGAAAGGUGAGGAAAUCUUCAAGGAGUGCACCAAGACUGAAACACUAACCGAUGCAAGGUGUAAACAGAUGGUGAACAUCCUGGUUGCAGAUAUGAUGGAGCUGCAUGGGAGGGUUCCGCCAUCAUGUGUGAUGAGAAAUUACGCCCUGAGAAUUGUGACUUGUUUUCCAUACCUAAAAGAUCCAUUCUCCAAACCUGGAUUUGAUGCUUAGCUUAGCCGCAGUGGCUCAGGAGGUAGAGCAGGUCGUCCAGAAAUCGUAAGGUUGGUUGAUCCUUGCUCCCUCCACCCAGUCACUGUUGUGUCCUACACUUCUCCUGGCUCUCAAAGCCGUUCCAAGACUGUUUCUUCAUGAUGGUCCAAAAACCAGAGGAGAACAUCUGUUAACUGGUCAACAGCUGUUUGGUGAGGAGUGCAGGGAGGCGCUAUCUACAAUAAGACAUUCAACUGAUGAAUCCGUGGUCAAAGAAGAUGAGAACAACUUUCCAGUAUCGACAGAAUAUGAUCCAAGCACAAGAUGUAUCAUCGUCUGUUCUCAAUGUGUUCCCUCGCUUCCUUGAUGUUCCUGGAUUGAUUGACCAGGAUUUCUCAAUGAUGUUUGGUGAUGAAGUAUCUCAGAGGUUCCUGGCUAAGUGGUCAACUGUCUUCAAACCAAAAGUCAUUGCAGACUUCAAGACUCUCCCGCAAAAGCAGAACAUUGAUGAGCUGCUGUCAGGAACUGAACCUCAACCUGAUGACAGCUGUGGGUGAGAAGUUACGGUAUAGAUUACCAUGUUGGUGUGUUCAAAUGUACUGGAUGUAGCUUUGAUCUACCUGUGUUCAAGAAGAUCUGUGAUAUAAUAAAACACAAAGAAUGUGCUUUUACAAUAGCUGUAAUGUAGAAACAAUGUACUAUGAUGACCUGUUUAACGCGUACUGCAUAGAAGACCAAAUGCUUGAGUUUUCUGUCAUGUUUUUAAAUGAACUGACUCAUUUCAGACCAUUUGACAAGCAGUACUCUAAUGACAGUUGUCAAAAAGCAAACAUACUGUUGUGCCCUGCUGUUAUUUAAGC